rnacentral:rRNA from 1 species
CCUACGGGCGGCAGCAGUGGGGAAUAUUGCGCAAUGGGCGAAAGCCUGACGCAGCGACGCCGCGUGAGGGAUGAAGGUCUUCGGAUCGUAAACCUCUGUCAGCAGGGAAGCACGGUCACUGUGCUAAUCAGCAGUGAAUUGACGGUACCUGCAAAGGAAGCACCGGCUAACUCCGUGCCAGCAGCCGCGGUAAUACGGAGGGUGCGAGCGUUAAUCGGAAUUACUGGGCGUAAAGCGCUCGUAGGCGGUAUGUCAAGUCAAGGGUGAAAGCCCCGCGCUCAACGUGUGAACUGCCUUUGAAACUGGCAAACUGGAGUGUGUGAGAGGAUAGUGGAAUUCCAGGUGUAGGAGUGAAAUCCGUAGAUAUCUGGAGGAACAUCAGUGGCGAAGGCGACUAUCUGGCACAUAACUGACGCUGAGGAGCGAAAGCGUGGGUAGCAAACAGGAUUAGAUACCCCUGUAGUC